rnacentral:lncRNA from 1 species
CUAUUUUCUCUUUAGUAGGCCUUACUCUAAAAYGGCAUAAAGAAGACUGUUUUUUAGAUGAUGGCCUAAGAACAGCCAAGACAAGGGAAAUAUUAUGAGUGAAGCAGAAGUAUGUAAGCUGGAAUUCUUCAUAAGCCUGCAAGUCUUGUUUCAAGAAAAGGGCUGCCUGCUCGCUCUGAUGAGACAUCUGUGUUCAGUCUGGGAUUUGAGCCUAAAGAGGACAAAGACGCACAGAAUCAGAAAGAAAUUAAGGAGGAUCAGAAGGAGAACAACAUAGGUGGAAGAUUUCCCUGGCAGAGUAAAAGGUAAACAGCCUUCAAGACAAGAUGAAGAUGUAGAUAAGGCGGGAAGUCUUCUGCAGAGGUGUAAAUCUGGGAAUGCAGGCAUUUGACUUCACUGGACCCGGGGACCAGAAUUGCUCCCGAGCUAUUGUGAAGCUGGGAAAGGUCGGGAGAAGGCUGGCAUUGACUGGAGGGGAGACCUUGUUUCAUUCCUUGCACCAGAGCCCAGGCCAGCUUGGAUGAGGCUGCUGUUGCGCAAAUGCAAACCCUGGAAAGAAUUAACCUAAGAACUAGCAAGUAGUUUAUGUGCACUUUUUUUAAGGUACAACUAAAGGAGCAGCCUGCUUGGGCUGGUGAGUGGGUUUGUCUGUCUUGCACUGAGAGUAGCAUGGAGAUGUCCCAUUCCUACUCUUAGCUGGAAUCAUAGCAUUGGCCUCAAAGGACUUUUACUUUGCCUCAUCYCUAGGUGGGCAGGAAUGGGUACAGUGCUGUUCAAAUAAAUCAGCACAUAACAUAGGGAGGACUGAAAAA